rnacentral:sRNA from 1 species
UGCCGUGGUGGUUGAGGUUAACAAUCUU